rnacentral:lncRNA from 1 species
GUUUGUCAGUCUGUGCCUGGUGAGCCUUUUCUAGUAUAGAGACUACCCAGGUAGCGUAAAGAGUCCUGGGUUUGAAUGAGGACACUUUCACUUUGCAAGGAGCCGUACUGGAAGAGGCACUAUGGUGAAAUUUGGCUGGGACCUUCAUCUUGCCUGCUACAAUGUGGUGCUCUGGACAUCUCUGCAGGGGGACAAGCAGUGUGGAAGACACAAGCUACUUCAGGGGCUAUGAUGACAGGCUGUUGGUCAACUGAUGAAUUAUUGGAAGUCUAUUACUGCAGGAACCAGGGGCCUAUUGUUUUAUGGAUACAAUUCAGGGGACCCAUGUAUUUGGAUGCAGAAAAUCAUCAUUUUAUUUUCAUAACCUCCUUCAUUUAUGGAUGCAGGAAUCAAAAACAUUUGUUAUCAAUACUUAUGACUAUGCUACUCAGAGAAAUCAGAGAUUUUUAAAAUUACAUAUUAAAGUUAUAUAUAUCC